GUGCCUUAAACUAAUGAGUAAGGAAAAUAACGUGCCUUGGUAACGCUUGGCACCACCAAGCAAUCUUUGGUACCAAUUUUUGGAGAGGCACAGGUCGUCCCUUAGUGGUUUGCUUACUUUCGCAGACUGCUGGGUUGUUGUGAUCUGCCUC